AAACAGGUGAAAUCUGGGAGUCUGAAGAACAGAUAAAUCUGGAUUCAUUCAAUACCAAUGUCUUCUUUGAAAUUCUGCUCACACAGUCACUGUCAGUUACAGCCAAACUGAGCCAAUUUAAAAAAGAGCUGAAAAUCUUGUAUCACAAACUUAUGACCGAAAUAGCUUCACUCAGAGAGCUUUGGAUAAUGAGGCUGUGUAUCUCAGAGAAGGCAGAAUCUCAUGACAGCAUAACGAUGGAGAACUAUAUGAAGGCAAAAUAUCAGGCAGAAGAGGAGAUGCUACACAGAAAGCAGCUGGCUGCUGAAUAUGAUGAGAUUGUGAAUAAACAACUUCACUUAUUACACCAUGAUUUGAAAUGCCAAGAAGAGCAUUGUGUCUUGUUCAAGUCUGCCCUGAGAGAGGCAGGGAGAUUGGUGGAAGUACUGACGGAGAAGAUGGCUUGUGGAGGGAACAGAGCCAUGUGGUCUAAACCAGACUACCAAUGGUUGUUAUCCCAGAUAGAUGCUGCAAGCAACAGAAUGUCAAGUGCAGUAAUAAAGGAGAGUCACAGACUCAAGGCAUGGGGUGUGCUGGGAGAUGGAACAGGAGCUCACCUCAUUAACAAAGAUAAAACCAGGCUCCUCACCAAGGAGGAGCUACUGGGUAACUACAAACUCUGGCAACUAGUUAGUGUAUGUUCAAAGAGAGCUAUUAUCACUUUAACUGUGCAAACAUGCAGCUGUAACCCACUGGCUCAGUGCCCUCUUCUAGUGCUGGUCCAUAGAAUAGGACAACAGCCUACCACUGCUGCUGGCUAAUGCAGCUGCUCAGGUAGCAAAAAAGAGGAUUUGUCAAGUUGUUGUGCAAGCAUGCCCAUCUAUGGAAUUUCUUCAGAUAAACAUUUAUGAUAACUGCCACAUUUUCAUUGUUCUUCCUUAGGCUUUUGAUAAACACACUGCUAGGUGUCUAACUGUAUGUCCUUUGUUAGUGAUUCUAUAUCAG
rnacentral:lncRNA from 1 species